rnacentral:rRNA from 1 species
AUUGAACGCUGGCGGCAGGCCUAACACAUGCAAGUCGAGCGGAUGAAGGGAGCUUGCUCCUGGAUUCAGCGGCGGACGGGUGAGUAAUGCCUAGGAAUCUGCCUGGUAGUGGGGGAUAACGUCCGGAAACGGGCGCUAAUACCGCAUACGUCCUGAGGGAGAAAGUGGGGGAUCUUCGGACCUCACGCUAUCAGAUGAGCAUAGGUCGGACUAGUUAGUUGGUGGGGUAAAGGCCUACCAAGGCGAAGAUCCGUAACUGGUCUGAGAGGAUGAUCAGUCACAUUGGAACUGAGAAACGGUACAGACUCCUACGGGGAGCAGCAGUGGGGAAUAUUAGACGAUGGGCGAAAGCCUGAUACAGCCAUGCCGCGUGUGUGCAGAAGGUCUUCGGAUUGUAAAGCACUUUAAGUUGGGAGGAAGGGCAGUAAGUUAAUACCUUGUUGUUUUGACGUUACCAACAGAAUAAGCACCGGCUAACUUCGUG